CUUGAAGCUUGUAUAUAAUAUAAUCAGAUUAUUGUAGUCUAUAUUGCUGUACGAAUACAUUCGAAAUGACUAGUAGUGACAACUGCUCGAACAGCGGCUAUAAAACGGACGAUCUAAAAACUCAGGACCAUCAAUUAUCGACAGAAAACAACCUGUGUGAACAAAAUAAGUAUUACAUUUUCAUUUUAAAAGGUAAGCUUGAGCCCAAGAUUUGUUUCAUUUGUCUACCUCACCCUAGUAGCGAUCAGCCGUCAAGAUUUAUUUUGAAUAGUCAAAAUGAACUUCUAGAGAUACAAAGAAGCUCUGAUGUCUCCUCUUGGUUUAUGGAUAAUACAUAUAUACAAGACGGCAGUUUAUAUCUCACAUCGGCAAUCGAUCCUUUGUACAUCCUAUUGCGAAGAUUGACUAGUCUAUUCAUUGAAAGGGAUUCAUUUUCAUUAAAGCAAAAUUUCAUUCCUACUUCUCAAAUAUUUCGACAUGAGCUGUAUGAACAUUAUAAGUAUUUAGAACAGUUAGUCAAUUUAGAAACUUUGUGUGAAUCUUGCAUUAAGGGUUCGGAAAGGUGCUAUAAACUUGAUAGAAAAAAGGUGAUUUGUUGGCUACAACAUAAAGUUAAUAGAAUUUACCAAUACUUUUCAGAAAAUACAGAAAAAAUUCAUUCUUCUUUUCAAAUUUUAGAUCUCAAAUCUAAUCUAAACGCCGAAGAAAGAAUUUUAUUGGCACUUGAAUUCUUGAAAGAGUAUGUGGAUAAUCGGUGGAUUGAGCAGUUGCGUGGCUCAUACAACGUACCAGAAAUAAUGUCAGAUAAUUUAAAAACUCUUCUUGCGAAAGAAAUCAUCCCAGCUCCCAAAACGUCUUGUUUGCUAGGAAAAGGCCAAAAACUUCAAAAACUUGCUCUAUCAAAGACCAAAAAAAGAAAAAUUAAGGUUGAAGGGAAGUCAUUGACUCACUUCUUUAAAGCUAGCGAAUCUAAUCAAUAGCUUCGUAGCCAGUAGCGCGUGAGUUCUGCAAAAUUAAAGACUGUCGAACAGCAUACGAAUCUUCUCUUGAAGUACCAGAUACAGCAGAUGUCAAUUCAAAAAAUCAGUAGAACUUGAUAGAUUGUAUGCAAUCGAAUGUACAAAGGCACCCAAUUUUAACCUGCUAUCAAAGCGUUUUUGUGCUGAAACAUACAAUCAAAAAAGGCAGUUGACAAUUUCGGUCCUGUAUAGCACUGAUAAGAGACUUUAUUUAGACAGCAUAAUUAGAAUUCAAUUCGUUUUUUUGUAAACAUCCCUGAAGCUCUAUCUUCAGCCUGCGGUAUCAAUUGAGACCAAAUUCUUUUCCGCCAGGCAUAUGUAAGAUGCAUGAAUGAGUCAUUCAGAGUGUGCUAUCUGUCUGGGCGCGUUUUCCGACGCCGUUGUCGUAUCUUGUGGACACUCGUUUUGUGCUAGAUGUAUAGUUCAACAAUGGGAAAACACCGACGUCUUCAGCCCCAUAAACUGUCCUCUAGACCGCUCUGUGAUCACGUUUAUUAUUCCGAACUACGCCCUUCGAUCUAGAGUGGAUGCACAGAAAUUGGGCACGUCGGAAAUGGGUGAGUCAGAUGUAGAUAAGGACAGCGUUGGGUCGGUGGAUUCUCCAGAUCUGAGUAAAUUAUCCAGGUAUAAUAGCCUAUUCAGGGACGUGCACGUUGGACCGUAUCAGAGAAUAAGAAGAUUGAUAACUGUUUGGAACCAAUUGGACUCUCUGUCGACUUACAGGUGUUUGAGUAUUAUACUUGUGGCGUUGGCGCUUAUCCACGUACUUGUUACACAAAAUUUAACAUCAGAUAGUAAUUAUUUGGGAGUAUUUGAAUUACUUGAAGACUUGCUUGUUACCUCUGUUGUAGCAUUUUGUAUCUUUAACAUUUUGCUAGCAGCAGAAUAUCAUCUUACCUACUUUUAGAGUUGAUUUAUAGAUAGUAUUUCCAAAAAAUGAGGAAAUUAAAUGUAUAUAUAGCUUUUGUGAAAAAUGGACGUGUACAGCAUUCGCAAAAGGACCAAUUUGUCUUUUUAUUUGACGCGUGCAUUUGAGCGUGUCGAUAUAGAGAGCAAGAACUGCAUAUUUUUAUGUGCUACCCGGCCGUUCAAGCACUAUUUGUGCUGCUCCUCCCUCGUAAGAGCACGUUUUUAUCUGGUGGCUUGCAUUUUCUUGUGCUAAGAUUUUCAAUUACUGCAGUUCUUUUGGUGAUUGAAGGUGGACCAGCCACGUUUUCGACUUGGCAUUUCGCACGUGCGGGGAGGUUCGAGUCACGAAGAACAUGCGAAAAAAAGGUACAGCCAAGCAUUUUAAGCGGGGCGUGGCGCCCAUAUCUGCAGGAUUUAUUGAACCUCUAGACAUCUGAAUUGUUUCAAUUUGGAGCACCAAGACAAAUGAAAAUGAUCGAAGAAACAGAAUUGGGCGCUCAUACUUGAAUUUUGGUAGCGUAGACUUUCAGUUUUCCGAGCAUCGAAGAAACCAGACGUUAUAGGCAAGAACACCGAAAUAGAAGGGGCUACUUUUUGGUUGAAAGCGUUCUGAUGCGGUGGUUGUCAAUCCAUUUUAGCGGGAGUGGUUUUAUUGUAAUACCGAAGCAAUAGGUUUCCAAUCAACCUGGAAAACAAUCUUGAAAUGAGCGCGCUCGAGAGUUAGGGCGCGCCUAUCUUUGGUUUUUUUGUUCCUCAGCUAGUGUGCCAGAUCUGGCUUUGAGAAAUUACGAUCUAUCAAAACCGGUGUAAUAAAAAGAAUUGUAUCGAGAGAUCUCGAAUAUUCUAGGACACCUAGGUGACCAGAAGGUAA